CUGGAAUCCUACCCCGUGCCUAGGAACCACCCUGUGGCUUUGUUUAUGUUAUCAAUCCUUCCAGUGUGACUUCAGAAGCCAUCAAACCAGUGUGUGUGGCCACUGUGAAGACACACUCCUGAAAUCUUCUCUGAGAGAGCUGCACCUACGUCUGGGGGGGGACAUGUCUAGUGCCAGUAGAGCUCGUAGGCUGGGGGAGGAAAAGAACUGAGUAUGGAAAAGGCCAAGCAGCACGAGGAAGUCAGAAGACAGAGAGGGAAGGAAACAAAGGUCUUUAUGGAGGAUUCCCUGUCUUGGGACACUGCACCUGAGACUUGUGAAAGCUUAUCACCCUGUGGAAACUUUCAGGGUUCCUCAGUCUCUGUUUGGAAGGUUCUGUGGUGAUGGAUAUUCUCAGCCACCCCUGUCUCAGAUGAGUCUUUUCCUUGUCCACAAUUAAUAAGGGUAAGAGCCUGGUAUACAGAGUGAAUUCCACAGCCAGGGCUACACAGAGAAACCCUGUCAAAAAAAAAAAAAAAAAAAGAAAAGAAAAGAAAAGAAAAGAAGGAAGGAAGGAAGGAAGGAAGGAAGGAAGGAAGGAAGGAAGACAGAAAAGCACAGCCCUGUCUUUCCUUUCUACCUCUUUUUCUUGUGAAUUCUAACCAAAGCCUAGCAUAUGCUGUGCCCGAUGGGCUGGGAUUCCUCACUCUUUGAAACUACCCUCCCUGCUUCCGCCGUGUGGCUUGCUCUCUCCCCCAUCUUCCUCCUCUGGAAGCUCCCUAUCCUAUAGGUUUUCUAUCAAAACACUGGGAGGGGGGAAAUCCCAAUUUCCCCAGUAAUACAAUCACACCAGUUCACAGUUGUAUCCGCAGAAGUAAGGGUCCUUCUAGAGGGGUUCUGGGGGCUUGGGGCUUGGAACAGGGGCUUGGUGGGUAGAGCAGAAACAGGUGGAUAGGAUUAGAAGCAGAAAGAAUAUAUUAGAAGAUAGAAAAGGGAAUAGGGUGUAACACAAAAAUAUUUUUAGUAGCUCAGCUCCUGAUGCUGUGCAUGGGGUAUAGGCUUUCCAGCAUGACACCGCCUAACUCGGGCUUUCGCACCCAUGCACUGUGAUACACGGGGCUCUACACACUUCUUUCUUGAAGUCUCAUUAACAUUUUAAGACUGCACCCAGAGGUAGAGAGUUUAGAAUGUG
rnacentral:lncRNA from 1 species